UUCCCAGCUGGCCAUAUGCAAAAAGCCACCUGACGUUCUCCCACAAUACUCCUCCUUCGUCAUUCCCUCUCUUCCCCAUUUUCUGGAAACAGUCAGGCUCCGGAAGCUCUGAGACUGAGCCAUGAAGAUUACCUUCCUUCUGUCUUUUGUUAUCGUCCUUCUAUUGCCAGGGUCUAACCAGGCCAGGCGUGAAAAAUGUGCAGAUGGCGUAUGCAGAAAUCUUAAGGAGUGUUACAGGGAGGAAAAGUUGUGGGGACCAUGUCCCCAGGAUCCGUCCCAGAUCUUCUGCUGCUUUUGGGUAGGCGUCGAUUAUCCACCCAGGAGAAGAUUCGGACGUUUCUGAAUCCUGAGGCAAUUUUCCUGUGACACGGGCUCUUUCUUCAUCGCCACUCCCAGAGGCCUUGUGCAUUUGAGCUUGUCAGCUAGUCAACCUUCCCCAAGGGGAAAGAACACCUUCUCUAACAAAAAUCUUGCAUUUUCCUCUUCUAAUAAAAGCAAUGCAGUUGGGCAUAUGAA